AGCAGCCGCGGUAAUUCCAGCUCCAAUAGCGUAUAUUAAAGUUGUUGCAGUUAAAAAGCUCGUAGUUGAAUUUCGGGAUUGACUCGAUGGUCGUGCCUUAAGGGGUAUGAACUGUCGUUGUUGAUUUCUCACCUUCUGGAGAAGCUCGAUGUCCUUAAUUGGAUGUCUUGUGGAACCAGGACCUUUACCUUGAAAAAAUUAGAGUGUUUAAAGCAGGCAUUUUGCUCGAAUACAUUAGCAUGGAAUAAUAGAAUAGGACGGCAUGGUUCUAUUUUGUUGGUUUCUAGGAUCACCGUAAUGAUUAAUAGGGAUAGUUGGGGGCAUUAGUAUUCAAUUGUCAGAGGUGAAAUUCUUGGAUUUAUUGAAGACUAACUACUGCGAAAGCAUUUGCCAAGGAUGUUUUCAUUAAUCAAGAACGAAAGUUAGGGGAUCGAAGACGGUCAGAUACCGUCGUAGUCUUAACCAUAAACUAUGCCGACUAGGAAUCAGACGAUGUUAAUUUUUUAAUGACUC
rnacentral:rRNA from 1 species